rnacentral:rRNA from 1 species
AGUGAACGCUGGCGGUAGGCCUAACACAUGCAAGUCGAACGGCAGCACAGUAAGAGCUUGCUCUUACGGGUGGCGAGUGGCGGACGGGUGAGGAAUACAUCGGAAUCUACUUUUUCGUGGGGGAUAACGUAGGGAAACUUACGCCAAUACCGCAUACGACCUACGGGUGAAAGCAUGGGAUCUUCGGACCUUGCGCGAUUGAAUGAGCCGCUGUCGGAUUAGCUAGUUGGCGGGGUAAAGGCCCACCAAGGCGACGAUCCGUAGCUGGUCUGAGAGGAUGAUCAGCGACACUGGAACUGAGACACGGUCCAGACUCCUACGGGAGGCAGCAGUGGGGAAUAUUGGACAAUGGGCGCAAGCCUGAUCCAGCCAUACCGCGUGGGUGAAGAAGGCCUUCGGGUUGUAAAGCCCUUUUGUUGGGAAAGAAAAGCAGCAGGUUAAUACCCCGCUGUUCUGACGGUACCCAAAGAAUAAGCACCGGCUAACUUCGUG